UACAGAGGGGGCAAGCGUUAUUCGGAAUUAUUGGGCGUAAAGGGCGCGUAGGCGGCAUGGCAAGUGGAUGGUGAAAUCCCUCGGCUUAACCGAGGAACUGCCGUCCAAACUGCUUCGCUUGAGACCGGGAGAGGUGAGUGGAAUUCCCAGUGUAGCGGUGAAAUGCGUAGAUAUUGGGAGGAACACCAGUGGCGAAGGCGGCUCACUUGACCGGUACUGACGCUGAUGCGCGAAAGCGUGGGGAGCAAACGGG
rnacentral:rRNA from 1 species